rnacentral:rRNA from 1 species
AGUGAACGCUGGCGGUAGGCCUAACACAUGCAAGUCGAACGGCAGCACAGUAAGAGCUUGCUCUUACGGGUGGCGAGUGGCGGACGGGUGAGGAAUACAUCGGAAUCUACUUUUUCGUGGGGGAUAACGUAGGGAAACUUACGCUAAUACCGCAUACGACCUACGGGUGAAAGCAGGGGAUCUUCGGACCUUGCGCGAUUGAAUGAGCCGAUGUCGGAUUAGCUAGUUGGCGGGGUAAAGGCCCACCAAGGCGACGAUCCGUAGCUGGUCUGAGAGGAUGAUCAGCCACACGGGAACUGAGACACGGUCCAGACUCCUACGGGAGGCAGCAGUGGGGAAUAUUGGACAAUGGGCGCAAGCCUGAUCCAGCCAUACCGCGUGGGUGAAGAAGGCCUUAGGGUUGUAAAGCCCUUUUGUUGGGAAAGAAAAGCAGCAGGUUAAUACCCCGCUGCUCUGACGGUACCCAAAGAAUAAGCACCGGCUAACUUCGUG